CCUGAAAAUGGAUGGCGCUCAAGCGUCGUGCCUAUACUCAGCCGUCAGAGUAAAUGGCGAAGCUCUGACGAGUAGGAGGGCGUGGAGGUCGUGACGCAGCCUUUGGCGUGAGCCUGGGUGAAACGGCCUCUAGUGCAGAUCUUGGUGGUAGUAGCAAAUAUUCAAAUGAGAACUUUGAAGACUGAAGUGGAGAAAGGUUCCAUGUGAACAGCAGUUGGACAUGGGUUAGUCGAUCCUAAGAGAUAGGGAAACUCCGUUUCAAAGUGCCCAAUCUCGGGCCGUGUAUCGAAAGGGAAUCGGGUUAAUAUUCCCGAACCGGAACGCGGAUAUUCUAGCCUCUCGGGGUUAGAUGUGCGGCAACGCAACUGAACUCGGAGACGUCGGCAGGAGCCCUGGGAAGAGUUCUCUUUUCUUGUUAACGGUCUGACACCAUGGAAUCUGAUUACCAGGAGAUAUGGUUUGAUGACCGGUAAAGCACCACAGUUCUUGUGGUGUCCGGUGCGCUCCUGAAGGCCCUUGAAAAUCCGAGGGAAAGAUUGAUUUUCGCGUCCGUUCGUACUCAUAACCGCAGCAGGUCUCCUA
rnacentral:rRNA from 1 species